CGACCCCAGUCAGAAGA
rnacentral:rRNA from 1 species